GAAAUCAAUUUCCAUCAGUAAGCUGUCUGCAAGGGAUGGGAAAUGAAACACUAAUUUACUUCAUUUAUGGGUCAUUACCUGAAUUUCAUGGCCAGAAGCAGAAUUUCUGGCUCCUAGCAGAAUGCAAUAUAACUGUUAUAACACAGAAUCAAUGAGAUCUUCUGUUUUAUUGGGCUCAGAAGGAAAUUAUUUUUUGUGGGAGGAGGAAAGAAAGUAAAAAACGAUGUAAAGGGACAGAUUUUCAGCUAGCAUAAAUCAAUGCACUGCUAUUGCAGUGGUGUGUUUAUACAGUGUAAUUGCCACUUUGAAAUAACAGAUGCAGCACUCAUUAAUCAAGCUGUAGCCAUCCGCGUAUUCCUUCAGAGUCCGUUGCUAUUUGCGAUCGGAAACUUCUGUCGUGCAACGAUGCGGCUACUAUAUGUGACUGGAUGGUUUCCGUUGCAGUUGGCCACUUCUCGGCUGAAGCGGUCGUGGUGCAGAUCGCUGGGUAGCAAAACCUUCCCCAGGCUUAGGCAACUUGGUCAGGAAGCAAACAAUUCCACAUUUUUUAGCUGAUGUAGAGGCAUGUGAGCAAGGUGACUCUUGCCUCUUGCAGCACCUUCUCCUGAAGGCUGCAGCCGGUUGUGAGGGACAGCAGAUGCUUCACAUCUGAGCAUCUUCCAGGUCCUCUGAAAAAGUCCUGCUGGAGACACAGCCAAACCAGAGAACCAGCUUAGAGGACGGUGAGGUGCCAAUAAUGUGGCUG